rnacentral:rRNA from 1 species
UGAGUACGAGAUGCUACGGCAUCGAAGCAGUCUAUGUCAUACUUCCAAGAAAAGCUUGCACUGUCAUAAACAAAGAAUGCCUGUACCAUAACCGACACAGGUGGGUAGGUAGAGUAUACUAAGGGGCGCGAGAUAACUCUCUCUAAGGAACUCGGCAAAAUGACUCCGUAACUUCGGGAGAAGGAGUGCCUUAUUUCUAAGGUUGCAAUAACAAGAUCCAAGCAACUGUUUACCAAAAACACAGGUCUCCGCUAAGUCGUAAGACGAUGUAUGGGGGCUGACGCCUGCCCAGUGCCAGAAGGUUAAAGAAGUUGGUUAGCAUUAGCGAAGCUGAUAACUGAAGCCCUGGUGAACGGCGGCCGUAACAAUAACGGUCCUAAGGUAGCGAAAUUCCUUGUCGGGUAAGUUCCGACCCGCACGAAAGGCGUAAUGAUUUGGAUACUGUCUCGGAGAGGGGCUCGGUGAAAUAGACUUGUCUGUGAAGAUGCGGACUACCUGCACCUGGACAGAAAGACCCUAUGAAGCUUUACUGUAACUUGAGAUUGAAAUUGGACUUUAUUUGCGCAGUAUAGGUGGGAGGCGUUGAGAAUAAUCUUGCGGGAUUGUUGGAGCCAUCAGUGAGAUACCACUCUUGUAAUGUUAGAUUUCUAACUUUGUAUCAUUAUCUGGUCAAAGAACAGUUUCAGGCGGGCAGUUUGACUGGGGCGGUCGCCUCCCAAAGGGUAACGGAGGCGCACAAAGGUUUCCUCUGAAUGGGUAGAAAUCGUAUCUAGAGUGUAAAGGCAUAAGGAAGCUUGACUGUGAGACCUACAAGUCGAGCAGGGACGAAAGUCGGUCUUAGUGAUCUGACGGUGCUGAGUGGAAAGGCCGUCACUCAACGGAUAAAAGUUACUCUAGGAUAACAGGCUGAUCUCCCCCAAGAGUUCACAUCGACGGGGAGGUUUGGCACCUCGAUGUCGGCUCAUCGCAUCCUGGGGCGGUAGUCCGUCCCAAGGGUUGGGCUGUUCGCCCAUGAAAGCGGUACGCGAGCUGGGUUCAGAACGUCGUGAGACAGUUCGGUCCAUAUCCGGUGUAGGCGUUAGAAUAUUGAGAGGAGCCUUCUCUAGUACGAGAGGACCGAGAAGGACAUACCUCUGGUGUACCAGUUAUCGUGCCAACGGUAAACGCUGGGUAGCUAUGUAUGGAGUGGAUAACCGCUGAAAGCAUCUAAGUGGGAAGCCCACCUCAAGAUAAGUAUUCUCAUC